AUGUCCAUGAAGUUGGAGGUGAGGUGCCAGGGCUGUCUGAGCGGCUCUGUAGCCCUCAGGGAUCCCCGUAGCCUUCAGGGAUGCAGCUUAUCCUGCUUCAAUCUUCUCCCAGGCCCUCAGGCAGCCCCUCAUGUUGAAGUCCAAGUGUCUACAUUCCAGGAAGCAAAAAUGCUAGAAGAGACCCAAAGUGACCGGAGGGACAGCCACUAUCUUUUAAGAAAGAUUUUUGAGACAUAUAGGAUGAGGUCAGAACCAGAGGAUUCUGAUCCGUUUUCUUUUGAUGGUCCAGAAAUUAUGGAUUGUACAGGGUGCCAGAUAGAUUGGAAAAAAUAAAAGAAUGUCAUUUUGAAAACCAUUAAGAAGAAGCAGAAACAUAAGGGACAUGGGACAGUUCAUACUGUGACUAAAACAGUUUCCAAUGACUCCUUCUUUAAUUUUUUUGUACCUCCUGAAGUUCCUGAAAGUGGAGAUCUGGAAGAUGCUGCUGAAGCUAUUCUUGCUGCAGACUUUGAAAUUGGUCACUUCUUACAUUAGUAUAUAAUCCCAAGAUCAGUGUUAUACUUUACUGGAGAAGCUAUUGAAGAUGACGAUGGUGAUUAUGAUGAAGAAGGUGAAGGAGCAGAUGAGGAAAAAGAUCCAGAUUAUGACCCGAAGAAGGAUCAAAAUCCAGCAGAGUGCAAGCAGCAGUGAAGCAGGAUGGUCUGCCUUCUGCUUCCCUGGAAAGGAUGAAUUUACAUCUUUUGACAAGCCUAUUUCAAGUUGUUUGUUGUUGUUUGUUUGCUUCCUUGUUUUUGUUUUUACAGCCUAAAAUAAAAAUGUCAAAUACACACACACAAAAAAAAAA